UACAUGUGGGGCAAGCGUUGUUCGGAAUUACUGGGCGUAAAGGGCGCGUAGGCGGCCUUCUAAGUCGAACGUGAAAUCCCUGGGCUCAACCCAGGAACUGCGUCCGAUACUGGAAGGCUUGAAUCCGGGAGAGGGAUGCGGAAUUCCAGGUGUAGCGGUGAAAUGCGUAGAUAUAUGGAGGAAUACCAGUGGCGAAGGCGGCCUCCUGGCUCGAUACUGACGCUGAGGUGCGAAAGCGUGGGGAUCAAACAGG
rnacentral:rRNA from 1 species